CAAUAGCGUAUAUUAAAGCUGUUGCGGUUAAAAAGCUCGUAGUUGGAUUUCUGUCAAGGACAACUGGUCCGCCCUCCGGGUGAGCACAUAGUUUGGUCUUGACAUCUUGCUGGAAGCUGUUGCUGCACUUGGCUGUGUGGCGCAGUGUUCAGCACUUUCACUUUGAGGAAAUUGGAGUGUUUCAAGCAGGCACAUGCCUUUGGACACAGUAGCAUGGAAUAAUUAGAUUGGGCUUCUGCUCCAAUUUGUCGGUUUCUGGAGCUGAGGUGAGUAUUAAUGGGGAUUGUUGGGGGCAUCCGAAUUUAGCCGUCAGAGGUGAAAUUCUUGGAUCUGCUAAAGACGGACAACUGCGAAAGCGUUUGCCCAGGAUGUUUUCAUUGA
rnacentral:rRNA from 1 species